rnacentral:rRNA from 1 species
UACGAAGGGGGCUAGCGUUGUUCGGAAUUACUGGGCGUAAAGCGAACGUAGGCGGUGUUCCAUGUCAGAGGUGAAAGCCUGGGGCUCAACUCCAGAAUUGCCUUGAAACGGGGACGCUUGAGUCCGAGAGAGGGUGGCGGAAUUCCUAGUGUAGAGGUGAAAUUCGUAGAUAUUAGGAAGAACACCAGUGGCGAAGGCGGCCACCUGGCUCGGUACUGACGCUCAGGUUCGAAAGCGUGGGGAGCAAACAGG